rnacentral:rRNA from 1 species
UACGUAGGGAGCAAGCGUUGUUCGGAUUUACUGGGCGUAAAGGGCGCGUAGGCGGCGUGACAAGUCACUUGUGAAAUCUCCGGGCUUAACUCGGAGCGGCCAAGUGAUACUGUCGUGCUAGAGUGCGGAAGGGGCUACUGGAAUUCUCGGUGUAGCGGUGAAAUGCGUAGAUAUCGAGAGGAACACCUGCGGCGAAGGCGGGUAGCUGGGCCGACACUGACGCUGAGGCGCGAAAGCUAGGGGAGCGAACGGG